ACGUCUGGUGUAUUUCCUCUCCCAAAUGAGACUCUGCGAACUUCUACAAGAUGGCUUCGAAACGCCUUUCAGAAGCAGGAUAUGAACACUAUGAGAUCAGUAGCUACUGCAAUUAUGUUUACGAGUGCAACCACAACACAACGUAUUGGGCAAACCGGCCAUUCUACGUGUUUGGUCUUGGAUCAGCAAGCUACAUCAACGGUGUCAGGUUCUCUAGGCCCAGAAGAAUGAAGGAGUACGUGCCAUAGAUCGAUUUCGUGGUGGAUACGGGAGGUGUGGUCCACUUCACCAUGCUGGAGCCUAAGGGCGCAAAGUCUAUCUCACGAACUAGCCGUGCAUCUUGCCCAACACCUUUCCAUCUCUGACAAUCACGAAGGCAGAACGACCUGGGCCGUAGAUUAUACGGUGAACGAGGGCGGCGGCAGCACUAGAGCGCGACAAGGCUGGUUGAGAACUCUACAUCUCGCUGGAGUGAACUUGUUUCCCAGACGUCUCAUGCCGAAGUCUGAGGCACUGGCGUACUUAGCCAUGCCGUUAAGAAGCCAAAUCCAUAGGUUGUGAGCGAGGUGUUCAUCCGCACUGUUGCCUGACUGUGAAGCUCUGCCACCAUGCGAAACCCUCUCAAGCCACUCAAUGUAUUCUUCUUUCUUCUGAUUGCAUGUUUUGUAUAUGUGGAUGCUUGUUUUUUUACGUGCGUGCGUGCGCGUGCCUGUGUGGUAGGUUUCAAGACUAUUAGAGUCCAUGUCGUUUUGGUACUUGUAUGUUCAAUGUAUAUAUACACAUAAAUCGUGUUUCUCUUGCUAGACCGUGAGAUUCUGGGAAUAAACAUAACAAUAUCAUCGUCA